AGAUGAACUUACCUGACAGACGUG
rnacentral:siRNA from 1 species